UACACACUUUUAAACAACCAGAUCUCCUGAGAACUCACUAUUGCAAGAACUGCAAGGGGAAAAUCCACCCCCCAUAAUCCCAUCACCUCUCACCAGGCCCCUCCUCCAACACAGGGGAUUACAAUUCGAUCUGAGAUUUGGGCAGGGCAAUAAAUCCAAACUAUAUCAUCACUUUAGACCUUACCACUUCCCUCAACUCCAGACAUAUAUCCAGCCAUGUACAAGGCUUGUCUUCUUUGAUUCAACUGGCUUCUUGAACUUAAUGCUUCUAGUACAGAAACCUUGAUUUUCAUUUUCAAAAACUCUCCCCUAGUCUUUCUCAUCUCAGAAAUGGGACCAUAAUUUUUUCAGAUGUGCUGAGUUCCCAAUCCUAGAAACAAUCUUGGAAUUAUUCUGUUGUCUUCAUAUCUAAUCAAUUGGUCCUGUUAUUUUCUUCUCUGACCACUUCUUGUCCCACAAACUGCUACUUCUCAAGUCCCUGAGACCAUCACACCUUUCCUGGAUUAUCAUAAACUCUUCACCACAUUGCGCCUUCAACCCAUUCCAGUUCUCCUCAUCCUAUUUUUCAUAAAGAAAUUGUGAUACUUUUAAAUGUAAAUCAGGUCACCCAACUUACCAUCUCAAAACCUCCCAGUGGUUUCCCAGCCCAUUAUAAAAGAUCUGAAAUCCUCAUCAUGUCCCCUAAAGUGACACGUAUUCUUGUGUCUGCCUAAUUUCUAACAAUAUUUUUUCCCCUGUCCUCUACUACAGUUGUAAAAUGCUUGUUCUUCUGCUUUUAAAACACUUCAAACUUAUUUCCUGCUCAGAACCCUGCCUCUACCCUCAUCAGCCAGUACCCCUUCAUUCCUUUUUUUUUUUUUCAUAGCAUUUAUUACCACAUGGAAUGUUUUUUGGUCAGGUUUUGUUUUCUCCUUCCUGUCAGUAGAAUGUAAAGCCUACUGGAAUUUAUAUGAGAGACAGUACAUUGUCAAUUUUAUUGCUGUAACUAACAUCUAGAGCGGAAUCUGUUAUAUAAUAGCUGUUUAACAAAUACUUUUCAGUAGGUGAAUGAAUGACUGCAUGAAUGUAUCCAUCCAUCGUCCUUAUUUUAGAAUUUAUCAACACCAUCACUGUUAACUAUAAUUCUGUUCUUAUCCAACUACCUACUUAUCUAUCCACCCAAAGAAGAUUGAUUGGCACCAAUUUUGUGCUCCACUGAUAGCCUAAUUAGAGAAACAAAAUCUACCACCAAGUCCCAGGCAGAAGCAUAUUUUCACUUGGUAUAAACUGAUGUUUCCAUAUCUCUAUGGGAUCUUUUUGUCCCUUAGUCACUUCUCUCCAUGACCGCCAACUAAUAGGCUCUCUCUUAAUUAUUGCAAUGCCUACUGGGUUUAAUUCUGUAUAAUCAUCAGGUUGCUUCUGGCUUUGGGGGAUGCUGAUUUAAGAAUGGGAUACCAAGACCUCUUUCCUCUGCAAUCACUUGGAAUUUAAGGAUUAUUUCUUGCCAAAAAAAAAAAA
rnacentral:lncRNA from 1 species